GCCGUACAGGCCAAAACGGUUGAGGCACCUGCCUUCCAAGCAGGGGAACCGGGUUCGAAUCCCGGGUACGGCU
rnacentral:tRNA from 1 species